rnacentral:rRNA from 1 species
UACGUAGGGGGCAAGCGUUGUCCGGAAUCAUUGGGCGUAAAGAGCGUGUAGGCGGUCCGGUCAGUCCGCUGUGAAAGUCCAGGGCUCAACCCUGGAAUGCCGGUGGAUACUGCCGGGCUAGAGUCCGGAAGAGGCGAGUGGAAUUCCUGGUGUAGCGGUGAAAUGCGCAGAUAUCAGGAAGAACACCCGUGGCGAAGGCGGCUAUCUGGCGGUGCAUUGACGCUGAGGCGCGAAAGCGUGGGGAGCAAACAGG